rnacentral:rRNA from 1 species
GACAGAGGUGGCGAGCGUUGUUCGGAAUCACUGGGCUUAAAGGGCGCGUAGGUGGCAGUGCAAGUCUGGGGUGGAAUCCCAGGGCUUAACCCUGGAACUGCCUUGGAAACUGCAUUGCUUGAGUCAGUGAGGGGAGGGUAGAAUUCCUGGUGUAGCGGUGAAAUGCGUAGAUAUCAGGAGGAAGGCCUGUGGCGAAGGCGGCCCUCUGGCGCUGGACUGACACUGAGGCGCGAAAGCGUGGGUAGCAAACAGGAUUAGAUACCCUGGUAGUCCACGCCCUAAACGGUGGGUACUAGGUGUAGGGCUCGUAAGGGUUCUGUGCCGAAGGGAAACCAUUAAGUACCCCGCCUGGGGAGUACGGCCGCAAGGUUGAAACUUAAAUGAAUUGACGG